rnacentral:rRNA from 1 species
AAUCAACGCUGGCGGCGUGCCUCAGACAUGCAAGUCGAACGAUUAAAGCUCUCUUCGGAGAGUGUAUAGAGUGGCGCACGGGUGAGUAACACGUAAGUAAUCUACCUUCGAGUGGGGAAUAACGUCCGGAAACGGACGCUAAUACCGCAUAAUGCAGCGGCAUCGCAAGAUGACAGUUGUUAAAGAUUUAUCGCUUGAAGAGGAGCUUGCGGCAGAUUAGCUAGUUGGUAAGGUAAUGGCUUACCAAGGCUACGAUCUGUAACCGGUCUAAGAGGACGGUCGGUCACACUGACACUGAAUAACGGGUCAGACUCCUACGGGAGGCAGCAGUCGGGAAUUUUGGGCAAUGGGCGAAAGCCUGACCCAGCAACGCCGCGUGAAGGAUGAAGUAUUUCGGUAUGUAAACUUAC